rnacentral:rRNA from 1 species
CCUACGGGUGGCAGCAGUGGGGAAUAUUGGACAAUGGGCGAAAGCCUGAUCCAGCCAUGCCGCGUGUGUGAAGAAGGCCUUCGGGUUGUAAAGCACUUUCAGUGGGGAAGAAAGCCUUGGGGCUAAUACCCUCGAGGAAGGACAUCACCCACAGAAGAAGCACCGGCUAACUCCGUGCCAGCAGCCGCGGUAAUACGGAGGGUGCGAGCGUCAAUCGGAAUUACUGGGCGUAAAGCGCGCGUAGGCGGUCUGAUAAGCCGGUUGUGAAAGCCCCGGGCUCAACCUGGGAACGGCAUCCGGAACUGUCAGGCUAGAGUGCAGGAGAGGAAGGUAGAAUUCCCGGUGUAGCGGUGAAAUGCGUAGAGAUCGGGAGGAAUACCAGUGGCGAAGGCGGCCUUCUGGACUGACACUGACGCUGAGGUGCGAAAGCGUGGGUAGCAAACAGGAUUAGAUACCCCAGUAGUC